CUCAAACAAUAAAGUAGUAAAGUAGCAUAAACAAAAUACAAAAAAAGUGUGAAAUAAGAAAAUAAGAUAUUUCAUUGCAAGGUUUGUGAAACGAAUGGAUAGAAAUUGCGAUAUCAAUUGCUUCUCAGUGCAUUAAAUGUGAAGUCCUUUAUUGCUAAUUUCUAGAAUUUGGAAUCAACAGUUGGUGACUAUUGUAGUUUUUGUCUGUCGAUUUGUAUGUCAGUUAAAUGCGUGCCACUUUUCCCUGCUUACCACUAUCGGGCACAGAUAGACGUCCUUAAUGCAUAUAAAACAAAACAAAGAUGUGGACAACUAUAUAACAAUCUAAUGGGUACAUGCAGCACAAGAGCGUUUG
rnacentral:sRNA from 1 species